GGAAGCGUGCCUGAGAAAGGACUACCUUGAUAGAGUAGACACGGGUAUAACCACAUAACCCCACUUCCC
rnacentral:tRNA from 1 species